rnacentral:rRNA from 1 species
UACGAAGGGUGCAAGCGUUAAUCGGAAUUACUGGGCGUAAAGCGUGCGCAGGCGGUUUUGUAAGACAGGCGUGAAAUCCCCGAGCUCAACUUGGGAAUUGCGCUUGUGACUGCAAGGCUAGAGUGUGUCAGAGGGGGGUAGAAUUCCACGUGUAGCAGUGAAAUGCGUAGAGAUGUGGAGGAAUACCGAUGGCGAAGGCAGCCCCCUGGGACAUGACUGACGCUCAUGCACGAAAGCGUGGGGAGCAAACAGG